AUGCUCACUUUGACAGCAUAUAUACUAAAAUUGGACCAAUACAGAGAAGAUUAGCAUGGCCCCUGUGCAAGGAUGGCAUGCAAAUUUGUGAAGCAGCUCACAUUUUU
ensembl:snRNA U6 U6 spliceosomal RNA